rnacentral:lncRNA from 1 species
GCACACUCACCAUGAGGAAGGAGUAGCUGGCCCACAAACUCCUCCAUCCGGGGGGACAGCUGGGGGCGUUGUGAUCUUGGCUGCGAGGGCGUCUCUCACACACGGCACAGCUGCUGAUGUGGCCGAGGAUUUCGCCCCCCGACACGGGCAUCAUGGGCACGGCCGCAGAGGUGGAGAGCCAGUAGGACUUACCGUUGCGUCUGGCGUAGUCACAGGUGUAGCAGAAGGGCAUGGUGCUGAAGACUUGCAUACACAAGCCUGCCUGGCUUGUGUCUCCCUGGGGGCCCUCGCAACCCAGCAGGACCCUUAAGACCCAGGAGAGGACACAAACACCACAAUCAGUCAGUGUGAAGCACAGGUGGUCCCUCGUCGCCCCUCCUUCCCUUCUCACCGUGAGGCCCUGCAAGGCCCCUGUGACCAUCUGGGCCCUGUGGCCCCUGCUUCAACCUCCCUGGUUCCCCCUGGAGAGCUUGUGUUGGAAGUCAGUUGCACAAACAUGGAGCAACAUUUACUUGUGUUUCCUAAAUAUUUGGAUAUUUGAGAGAUUUAUUUUGUAAGACAGGAUAACUCCCACUACACAUCUGGCAAUAAAACUGGCC